rnacentral:piRNA from 1 species
UGGAAAAGGAUUAGAGCCGGUGUGAUUUGC